ACUGUAUCCUCCUUUCUUUUGUCUCUACAGCAGCCUGCCCUACUUGUUGGACCUUAUUUGUUCUUGUACUUAUCCUGAUUGUAGCUGCUGCUGCAGUGUUGUAUUUCUAUAAAUUCAGGAGAGAGAGGGGGCAACGUGUCCCAACAACAGAGUCACCUGUCACUUCAGCGAGAGAAGGAGCAGAGAAGUAGAAGCCGCAGCACUAGCAGAAGUGAGAACACAUGCAGAGGAAGAGGAACCUGUUUGACAGCUGUGGAAGCAACAAGAUCAUAGUUGGACUGCAGGCAGUUAUAGAUUCGGCCCCUAACAUGACUGGUUUAGUGAACAGAUGCAGCAGUGCAGUUCCCAUAUAUCCAUUCCUGUCAGCUUUGCCUGGUUUUAAAUGCUUCUCAUUGUGGAAGUUUCUGUUUUACUGUUGUCAAAUGGUGUUACAAUACAAGAAUAAUAGCUGG